CAACCCUCAGACCCCCCGUGGGCCUGGUGUUGGGGAUCGGCCCGCCCUGGCGCGGCGCCGUCCCCUAAAUACAGUGGCGGUCUCGCUGCAGCCUCCCCUGCGUAGUAGCACACCUCGCAUCGGAGAGCAGCGCGGCCACGCCGUGAAACCCCAACUUCUGAU
rnacentral:misc_RNA from 1 species